AGUUGAAGUGGGCGGAACACAUCAUGUAGCGGUGAAAUGCAUAGAUAUGAUGUAGAACGCCGAUUGCGAAGGCAGCUCACUAAGUUAGUAUUGACGCUGAGGCACGAAAGCGUGGGUAGCGAACAGGAUUAGAUACCCUGGUAGUCCACGCCGUAAACGAUGGUUACUCGCUGUUGGCGAUAUAAUGUCAGUGGCCAAGCGAAAGCAUUAAGUAACCCACCUGGGGAGUACGUUCGCAAGAAUGAAACUCAAAGGAAUUGACGGGGGCCCGCACAAGCGGUGGAGCAUGUGGUUUAAUUCGAUGAUACGCGAGGAACCUUACCAGGGCUUAAAUGCAUAUUGACAGGGCUGGAAACAGCUUUUUCUUCGGACAAUUUGCAAGGUGCUGCAUGGUUGUCGUCAGCUCGUGCUGUGAAGUGUCGGGUUAAGUCCCAUAACGAGCGCAACCCCUAUCUUCAGUUGCCAGCGGGUAAUGCCGGGGACUCUGGAGAAACUGCCACCGUAAGGUGCGAGGAAGGUGGGGAUGACGUCAAAUCAUCACGGCCCUCACGUCCUGGGCUACACACGUGCUACAAUGGCCGGUACAGAGGGCAGCCACCCCGCGAGGGGGAGCAAAUCUCCAAAGCCGGUCUCAGUUCGGAUUGGAGUCUGCAACUCGACUCCAUGAAGCUGGAAUCGCUAGUAAUCGCGUAUCAGCAAUGACGCGGUGAAUACGUUCCCGGGCCUUGUACACACCGCCCGUCAAGCCAUGGAAGCUGGGGGUACCUGAAGUCGGUGACCGUAAGGAGCUGCCUAGGGUAAAACCAGUAACUGGGGGUAAGUCGUAACAAGGUACCA
rnacentral:rRNA from 1 species